rnacentral:rRNA from 1 species
AUGGCGGCGGCAAAUCCGGCGGAGACUCCGGCGAGGAGAGGCGUCAAUACGGGCGUGGGCUCCGGCGGGGGGCUCAUCCCUGUGUUGGAAUGGGACGACAUCAAGGCCAAGUCCAGGCGCAUACUGCGGCGAUCCACAAAUCGAGCGAGAUGCUGGGAAAGGAUGAAGAAGCGGGCAAAGGAUCUACUCCACGGGAGCCCAGAGCCGGGAGACGAGUUCGUGAACGAGGAACUUGUCGAGUACGCUUACGAGGAUCAAGCUUUCGACAACUCUGAGAAUCUUGCAGGUGCCGACGAUGCCAGUGCAGACGAUGGCGUCGAUCUCAAGUGGGAGUUCGACGAGGAACGUGGUCGUUACUAUGUGUCUUUUCCUGAUGAUCAGUAG